CGGUAAUUCCAGCUCCAAUAGCGUAUAUUAAAGUUGUUGCAGUUAAAAAGCUCGUAGUUGGAUUUCGGAACGGCACAGCGGGUCCCAGACGGUUUGUUUGGCGCACCCGCUGUUUUUAGCCGUCCCUAAGGUCGGACUCCCGUGGGGCCCCGCUUCCUUCGGGUUGCGGGCCCCACACUCAGGGCAUUCGACCACGUUACUGUGAAAAAAUCAGAGUGUUCAAAGCAGGCGCUCGCCUUGAAUGGAUUAGCAUGGAAUAACACAACCAGACCUCGGUCUUGUAUUGUUGGUUUGAAGACUGAUAGGCGCUUGAUUAAUAGGGACAGUUGGGGGCAUUCGUAUUCCGAUGUCAGAGGUGAAAUUCUUGGAUUCUCGGAAGACGAACUUGUGCGAAAGCAUCUGCCAAGGAUGUUUUCAUUAAUCAAGAACGAAAGUUCGGGGAUCGAAGACGAUUAGAUACCGUCGUAGUCCGAACCAUAAACGAUGCCGACUAGGGAUUGGAGGAGGUCUUUUUAGACUCCUUCAGCACCUUGUGAGAAAUCAAAGUCUUUGGGUUCCGGGGGGAGUAUGGUCGCAAGGCUGAAACUUAAAGGAAUUCCUUGUAAGCGCGAGUCAUCAGCUCGCGUUGAAUACGUCCCUGCCCUUUGUACACACCGCCCGUCGCUCCUACCGAUUGGAUGAUCCGGUGAAGUCUUCGGAUCGACGUGCACGCGAGCCUUCGGGCUUUUGUCGAGCGCGACGAGAAGUUGAUUAAACUUUAUCAUCUAGAGGAAGGAGAAGUCGUAACAAGGUAGCCGUA
rnacentral:rRNA from 1 species